UACGUAGGGUGCAAGCGUUGUCCGGAAUUAUUGGGCGUAAAGAGCUCGUAGGCGGUUUGUCGCGUCUGCUGUGAAAGCCCGGGGCUUAACUCCGGAGGUCGGUGGAUACUGCCAGUCUUGAAGGUGCUAGGGAGAGAUGGAAUUACCGGUGUAGCGGUGAAAUGCGUAGAUAUCGGUAGGAACACCAGUGGCGAAGGCGGUCUCUUGGGGCAUUCUUGACGCUGAGGCGCGAAAGCUGGGGGAGCGAACGGG
rnacentral:rRNA from 1 species